rnacentral:lncRNA from 1 species
AAUGAUCGCUUUGCUGAGCACACAAUUUCUGAUUCGAUAUUCCAACUCUGUGGGAAUAUACAACAAUUCUGCUGAGGAUACCUACUGAUCUGACAUUCUCGGUACGGUAGAGAAACCAAUUUAACUGGGGAGUCAUUUGUUGGGAAAACACCAACCUCUCGACCAUGCUGGGGAAACAAAUUCUGAACUUGACUUAGACGACCCAACCUCUUAC